AGGAUGGAUAUGCAUCGGCAGCAGCGAGAAAUCAGUUCAGAGUUUUACUGAUGGUCAGGAAACUUGUGUUCAAGGAGCAAUCCAACGGCAGACUGUGCUGCAGAGAAGACGGCCAGGUGGGGCACGCAGGUGCAAGUCGGACAAUCUCUUCUAGCUUUCAGGGCAAUGCAGCUUCAUGCAGAGGAGAAAUGGGAACAAUUGAAGCUAGUCAGUUGAAGGAAAAUAAUGCCCAUCAGGGCCAAAACAAUUAAAGCCAGUCAAAAGAAUCAGUAGAAAUCUUGAAGGGGGAAGAGUGUAUGACCCGAACUCAGAAGCAGAAAGAGCAGCAAGAUAAAUAAAAUCAAGCAUCGGUACAGAACUAAUCUGAUGAGCAAGAGAAAAAAGGAAGAGCGAGACCAUCAGCGCAAGAGGCCACUAAGUGUAACAGAUACAGACCUGAUGGGAAAAGGCAAAGGAAGAGAUGCCCUACCUGCCAUCAGCUAUACAGAUCAACAAAUACCUUUUUGGAACUUGCGUACAAAUCAUCAACCAUUGCAACUCAAGGAACCAUGCAUGUGCAGGUGCCGAAUUUGCAAGGUGUUACGAGGAAAUUCAAAUCAUCAACCAUUGCAACUCAAGGAACCAUCAGCUGUACACAGUGCAGUAACUGUGAAGCAAAUUACCAAACAAAGACAAGAAAAUGAAUUAGCAAGAACAGCAAGGAUGAAGAGGAAACUUGUGUUGAAGGAGCAAUUCAACACAAAUACUGGUAGUAAGAUAUGGAAUUUUGAGGAGGCAGCUAUAAGAAAACAACAAACACUGGGCUGGAGAUUGCAAAAAUUAUGCACUUGCCAACGUUGCCACACGUUCGGGGCAAAAUCAAAUUAUCAACCAGCACAAGUCAUGGAAUCAUCAGCUGUAAACAGUGCAAUAAUGGCUGACCAGAUGAUGAAACUAAGACGCCAGGACGACUUAACAAGAACGGCA